UGGGGAAUAUUGCACAAUGGGCGAAAGCCUGAUGCAGCAACGCCGCGUGAGGGACGACGGCCUUCGGGUUGUAAACCUCUUUUAGCAAGGAAGAAGCGAAAGUGACGGUACUUGCAGAAAAACGCGCCGGCUAACUACGUGCCAGCAGCCGCGGUAAUACGUAGGGCGCAAGCGUUAUCCGGAAUUAUUGGGCGUAAAGAGCUCGUAGGCGGUUUGUCGCGUCUGCUGUGAAAAACCCGAGGCUCAACCUCGGGCCUGCAGUGGGUACGGGCAGACUAGAGUGCGGUAGGGGAGAUUGGAACUCCUGGUGUAGCGGUGGAAUGCGCAGAUAUCAGGAAGAACACCGAUGGCGAAGGCAGAUCUCUGGGCCGUAACUGACGCUGAGGAGCGAAAAGGGUGGGGAGCAAAACAGGCUUAGAUACCCUGGUAGUCCACCCCGUAAACGUUGGGAACUAGUUGUGGGGUCCAUUCCAACGGAUUCCGUGACGCAGCUAACGCAUUAAGUUCCCCGCCU
rnacentral:rRNA from 1 species